AGUGUUUUGAGCUUGUCCGCAUUUGACAACAGGAAUGCAGUGUGGUUGAAGGUUCUCCACUAAAAUAACUUAUUAAAUUAAAAUCCAAAUAUGCUUCACCUACAGGUAAAUCCACCGUGUCUGUUGUUAGCUUUGCUAACUAUGCAUGGUUUGAAGAGUGGAAAGAUGACAAAGUAAAGAACAGAAGCAUAGAUUAUAAGGAGCUGAAGGAGGCGAUCAUCAACAACAUCUUAGAGGCAGUGACUGAGAUCUAUCCUAAGAUCAAGGACAGGAUUGAAUAUGUGGAUGCAGGCACCCCAAUCACCAAUCAGCAUUACAUUGCCGCUCCUGAAGGAGAGAUCUAUGGCAUUGAUCAUGAUAUUGCUCGCUUCAAUGUUGAACUAAACGCCACCAUCAGACCACAGACGCCCAUUAAAAACCUCUUCCUCACUGGCCAGGAUGUAUUGUUUUGUGGCUUUGCUGGAGCGCUGACAGGAGCGCUGACAUGUGGUUCUGUCAUCCUGAACCGUAACCUUCACCUGGAUGCCAUUGGUCUCGCCAAGAGAGUCAAGAAUGGCAACAACAAGAAGAAAGAAUAAGUAUCAGUAGUGCAUAAUGUUCAUAAUCAUUCCCAGAGAUAUCAGAUAUGGCUCUGGAGAAGAACAAAUGUAGGAUAUGUGUGAUUAAUAACCACUGCACUGCCUAACAAUAAUGCGCCACUGUAUUUGUACCUAAUCAUUUUAAAAUUAUUUUAUUGGCAAAGUGUUUACCAAGUGCCUUACUGGUUUAAAACUCAACUAUACAGUAAUUCAAAUCUAGUUUUAAUGCACUUAAAAGGGAAAUGAAUACGAUUCAGUUGAUUUAAUUUAAAUGGUUUUAUUGUAAGCUGUAAAAAAAUGCUGAGUUUUCCCAUUAACCUUCUUUUUGAAAGGUUUGUGUAAAAAGCAGAAGACAUGCUUGGCACUGUGUAUUUUGGGGGUUUUGUAACCAUCAACUGAAAUCUUAGUUGCACUUAGAAUUGAUUAAUUACUGUGGAUAUAGGCCUGUAGGUCUGUAUACAGGGUUUACAUGCAUCUUUCUCAAAUUAUAUAUUUGAGACGCUCUCUGAUGAUGUCAUCUGCACAGUUAUCUGUGCGUUUUUCUGCCUUUUUAAGUUGCAGUCAUAUUUCAGACUGGUAUAAAUAUGCCUAUAAAUGUACUUAUUAAUAUACAAUGGAUGCUUGUGCAUACUGAAUAAAUGUUCAU